rnacentral:rRNA from 1 species
UACGUAGGGGGCAAGCGUUGUCCGGAUUUAUUGGGCGUAAAGAGCGUGUAGGCGGUUUACAGGUCCGCUGUGAAAACUCGAGGCUCAACCUCGAGCUGUCGGUGGAAACUUUCUGGCUAGAGUCCGGAAGAGGAGACUGGAAUUCCUGGUGUAGCGGUGAAAUGACGCAGAUAUCAGGAGGAACACCGAUGGCGAAGGCAGGUCUCCUGGGCCACUACUGACGCUGAGAAGCGAAAGCGUGGGGAGCGAACAGG